AUGCGGCCUGUAAACCCAGGGGACGAGGACAAAGAAUCACACAUGCUGGGAAAUUCAGCACAAAUUGCAGCAGUCCUGAUAGCAACUGUGGCGUUCACUGCAACUUUUGCCCUGCCUGGAGGUUACAGAGCCGAUGACCAUAAAAAUGGAGGUACGCCAACACGUGCUGGGAGUUAUGCUUUUGAUGCGUUCAUGAUGGCCACCACAUUAGCUUUCAUCUGCUCCAUAGUCGCUACCAUUGGCUUUGUGUCUGCUGGAAUUCCCAUGGUUAACCUGAAAACCCGCCGAGUCAACUCUUCAGUGGCCGUGCUUUUAAUGUCGAGCUCACUCACAUCCAUGUCUACUGCUUUUGCGCUGGGUGUGUAUAUGGUGCUAGCGCCAGUCGCUCAUAGCACCGCUGUUGCGGUAUGCGCUAUUACUCCUGCCGUGUUGAUAAGUGUAAAUAGGGAUUCUAUUUUCCAAUGUGUUAUCCUAGCACGACCAUUAUGUACUAGGAUAGGGCUAUUCCAUGGAACCAAAGUGUUACUAAAGAUGCACAUGCAGAUAGUGGUCUUUGCACUUUGGCCCAUCAUAGUUACCUUUGGUUGGGCCGCAUUGGCAAGGAUCCACCGCCACAGCUAA
rnacentral:rRNA from 1 species